rnacentral:rRNA from 1 species
UUAAAUUUUUGAAGUUAUCUCAGCUUUUUUGUUGGGUGAAAUCAGUAUAAAGAGUUUCUCCUUCUUUUAAAAUUAAUAGGAAUUAAAAAACUUUGAUUUAAAACCAGGAUUAGAUACCCUGUUAUUCUAAGUUAUAUUUAGACAGGGUAGUAAAAGUUGUUCUUCAAACCCAAAGAUUUUGGCGGCACUUUAUCCAAAUAGAGGAGCUUGUCCCUUAAUCGAUAGUCCCCGUUUUAUCUUUCCUCUGUUUGUAGAGCUUGUAUACCGCCGUUGUCAGAUUACUUUUAGAGAAUGUUUUCAAGUUAAAAGACUUUUUUACUUCAGGUCAAGGUGCAGUUCAUAUAGAGGUGGAGGUGAGCUACAAUUUUCUUUAGAAAUACGGAUUUCAAGCCUUGAAGCUGGUUGAAGGUGGAUUUAUUAGUAAAUUAA